rnacentral:lncRNA from 1 species
AAAUAGGUGUAUAUAAAUUUAAAGACAGUAAACGCAUAAGGUAAUUUAAACGCAAAGAAGAUAGAAGGAAAAUUAUGAAUUUAAAAUACAAUUGCCUUUUGGUUGUUUUGAUUUUGCUUUCCUGUGUGAAAACAGCAGGGUCCGUUAAGAAUAACAGCAAAUUUACAUUCAAGGUUAAACAGGAUUUUACAGAAACGGUCGUUCCUCAAUUUCGGAAAUACGAUUUAAGUUUGCUGUUCAAGAUUAAACAAACAUGUAAAUCAAACCAGUCUUUUGCCUAAGAAACAAUCUACAUAUAAGAAAUAUCACUCCUGUGAAUCUGCGCUGCUUCGGCUGGUUAAUGUCCUUCUUAGUGGAAUGGAGAAACAGGAAGUCACGAUCCUUAUGCAAUGGACUUAAGUGUGUCAUAUGACACUGUCGGCCACCAAAUUCUGCUAGUUGUCCUAAAAGCACAGUAUGGUGUCUGUGAAACAGCUCUUCAAUGGGUGGACUCCUAGAUACCGCCAACGACGUAUAUAUUUACACUGGUGAUGGUGACGGUUCUAAUGUGUUCCAGACCGUGUUACAUCAUUUUAGAGAUGAGAUAGUUGAAGCAGAACCUGUUCGUGUUUACAACAACACUUUAAGACCAGAAGAAUCUAAGUCCGGGGAUCGAGAAAAUAGUAGUUACGGAGAAACGGUAGGUUAAAGACAUUUUUGUAAAAAAGCAGAUUACUUCAUAGGCGGUCAAAAUAUACUCUAAAGGACUUUAAAAGCUCCUCAUCUAAAUAUCGUAUUAAUUCAUUUUUACAACGUCUUAGUAUCUUAUUGUACCAUAUCAUUUUUUAUUAAAUCGUAACAGUUAUCAUAACGGGGGACUUUUACUUUAUUUACAUAACAAAUAUAUUUUAUCUGCAAACUUCAAAUACAUAUUCCGAAUACCAGACUUUGACAUACUAGAUCUGUAUUUUGUACAGUAUAUAACACUUAACUUUUGUUUGUCAUCCUAGUAAUUGAG